rnacentral:rRNA from 1 species
GACGGAGGGUGCUAGCGUUGUUCGGAAUUACUGGGCGUAAAGGGCGCGUAGGCGGCCCUGUCAGUCGGGUGUGAAAGCCCGGGGCUCAACCCCGGAACGGCACCCGAGACGGCGGGGCUGGAGACCGGGAGAGGAGGGUGGAAUAGCCAGUGUAGAGGUGAAAUUCGUAGAUAUUGGCUGGAACACCGGUGGCGAAAGCGGCUCUCUGGCCCGGUUCUGACGCUGAGGCGCGAAAGCGUGGGGAGCAAACAGGG